UUAAAUUGAAGAGUUUGAUCAUGGCUCAGAUUGAACGCUGGCGGCAGGCCUAACACAUGCAAGUCGAACGGUAACAGGAAGCAGCUUGCUGCUUUGCUGACGAGUGGCGGACGGGUGAGUAAUGUCUGGGAAACUGCCUGAUGGAGGGGGAUAACUACUGGAAACGGUAGCUAAUACCGCAUAACGUCGCAAGACCAAAGAGGGGGACCUUCGGGCCUCUUGCCAUCGGAUGUGCCCAGAUGGGAUUAGCUAGUAGGUGGGGUAAAGGCUCACCUAGGCGACGAUCCCUAGCUGGUCUGAGAGGAUGACCAGCCACACUGGAACUGA
rnacentral:rRNA from 1 species